rnacentral:ncRNA from 1 species
UCCUGAGCGCGUGGCGCAGCACGAUCAUGGGAAACGAGACGCCCUUGAGCCGGGCGGUGCGGAUGUAUUGCGCGGUCAUCACCUCGGUCAUCGAGGCCCGCGUCAUCCGGGCGAUGUAGCCCAUGCCGUAUAGCGCGAUGGUCAGAACCGGCAGGGUGAAGUUCUCGAAAGUGGCGUCU